rnacentral:rRNA from 1 species
AGUGAACGCUGGCGGUAGGCCUAACACAUGCAAGUCGAACGGCAGCACAGUAAGAGCUUGCUCUUACGGGUGGCGAGUGGCGGACGGGUGAGGAAGACAUCGGAAUCUACUUUUUCGCGGGGGAUAACGUAGGGAAACUUACGCUAAUACCGCAUACGACCUACGGGUGAAAGCAGGGGAUCUUCGGACCUUGCGCGAUUGAAUGAGCCGAUGUCGGAUUAGCUAGUUGGCGGGGUAAAGGCCCACCAAGGCGACGAUCCGUAGCUGGUCUGAGAGGAUGAUCCACCACAUUGGAACUGAGACCCGUUCCACACUCCUACGGGAGGCAGCAGUGGGGAAUAUUGCACAAGGGGCGCAAGCCUGAUCCAGCCAAACCGCGUGGGUGAAGAAGGCCUUCGGGUUCUAAAGCCCUUUUGUUGGGAAAGAAAAGCAGCACGUUAACCCCCCGCUGUUCUGACGGUACCCAAAGAAUAAGCCCCGGCUAACUUCGUG